UACGGGGGGGGCAAGCGUUGUUCGGAAUUACUGGGCGUAAAGGGCUCGUAGGCGGCCAACUAAGUCAGACGUGAAAUCCCUCGGCUUAACCGGGGAACUGCGUCUGAUACUGGAUGGCUUGAAUCCGGGAGAGGGAUGCGGAAUUCCAGGUGUAGCGGUGAAAUGCGUAGAUAUCGAGAGGAACACCAGUGGCGAAGGCGAGUCCCUGGACAACUCCUGACACUGAGGCACGAAAGCUAGGGGAGCAAACAGG
rnacentral:rRNA from 1 species